GGGGAUUUGGCUCAGUGGUAGAGCACUUGCCUAGCAAGUGCAAGGCCCUGGGUUCGAUCCCCAGCUCCG
rnacentral:tRNA from 1 species